rnacentral:tRNA from 1 species
GGGAGAGCCGCCCGAUGGACGGGCAGGGCGCUGUAAACGCCCCGCGUCAGCAAGCAGGUUCGAUUCCUGCCUCUCCCA